GUUAUCCGGAAUCAUUGGGUUUGAAGGGUCCGUAGGCGGGCCAUUAAGUCAGGGGUGAAAGUCUGCAGCUCAACUGUAGAAUUGCCUUUGAUACUGGUGGUCUUGAGUCGUUGUGAAGUGGCCGGAACAUGUGGUGUAGCGGUGAAAUGCAUAGAUAUCACAUAGAACACCGAUUGCGAAGGCAGGUCACUAACAACGUACUGACGCUGAUGGACGAAAGCGUGGGUAGCGAACGGGAUUAGAUACCCCGGUAGUCCACGCCGUAAACGAUGGAUACUAGCUGUCGGGACUUCGGUCUCGGCGGCCAAGCGAAAGUGAUAAGUAUCCCACCUGGGGAGUACGUUCGCAAGAAUGAAACUCAAAGGAAUUGACGGGGGCCCGCACAAGCGGUGGAGCAUGUGGUUUAAUUCGAAGCAACGCGCAGAACCUUACCAACCCUUGACAUCCUAGGACAACUCCAGAGAUGGAGCCUUCCUUCGGGACCUAGUGACAGGUGCUGCAUGGCU
rnacentral:rRNA from 1 species